rnacentral:rRNA from 1 species
AAAGAACCCCGGCGAGGGGAGUGAAAAAGAACCUGAAACCGUGUACGUACAAGCAGUGGGAGCACGCUUAGGCGUGUGACUGCGUACCUUUUGUAUAAUGGGUCAGCGACUUAUAUUCUGUAGCAAGGUUAACCGAAUAGGGGAGCCGAAGGGAAACCGAGUCUUAACUGGGCGUUAAGUUGCAGGGUAUAGACCCGAAACCCGGUGAUCUAGCCAUGGGCAGGUUGAAGGUUGGGUAACACUAACUGGAGGACCGAACCGACUAAUGUUGAAAAAUUAGCGGAUGACUUGUGGCUGGGGGUGAAAGGCCAAUCAAACCGGGAGAUAGCUGGUUCUCCCCGAAAGCUAUUUAGGUAGCGCCUCGUGAAUUCAUCUCCGGGGGUAGAGCACUGUUUCGGCAAGGGGGUCAUCCCGACUUACCAACCCGAUGCAAACUGCGAAUACCGGAGAAUGUUAUCACGGGAGACACACGGCGGGUGCUAACGUCCGUCGUGAAGAGGGAAACAACCCAGACCGCCAGCUAAGGUCCCAAAGUCAUGGUUAAGUGGGAAACGAUGUGGGAAGGCCCAGACAGCCAGGAUGUUGGCUUAGAAGCAGCCAUCAUUUAAAGAAAGCGUAAUAGCUCACUGGUCGAGUCGGCCUGCGCGGAAGAUGUAACGGGGCUAAACCAUGCACCGAAGCUGCGGCAGCGACGCUUAUGCGUUGUUGGGUAGGGGAGCGUUCUGUAAGCCUGCGAAGGUGUGCUGUGAGGCAUGCUGGAGGUAUCAGAAGUGCGAAUGCUGACAUAAGUAACGAUAAAGCGGGUGAAAAGCCCGCUCGCCGGAAGACCAAGGGUUCCUGUCCAACGUUAAUCGGGGCAGGGUGAGUCGACCCCUAAGGCGAGGCCGAAAGGCGUAGUCGAUGGGAAACAGGUUAAUAUUCCUGUACUUGGUGUUACUGCGAAGGGGGGACGGAGAAGGCUAUGUUGGCCGGGCGACGGUUGUCCCGGUUUAAGCGUGUAGGCUGGUUUUCCAGGCAAAUCCGGAAAAUCAAGGCUGAGGCGUGAUGACGAGGCACUACGGUGCUGAAGCAACAAAUGCCCUGCUUCCAGGAAAAGCCUCUAAGCAUCAGGUAACAUCAAAUCGUACCCCAAACCGACACAGGUGGUCAGGUAGAGAAUACCAAGGCGCUUGAGAGAACUCGGGUGAAGGAACUAGGCAAAAUGGUGCCGUAACUUCGGGAGAAGGCACGCUGAUAUGUAGGUGAAGUCCCUCGCGGAUGGAGCUGAAAUCAGUCGAAGAUACCAGCUGGCUGCAACUGUUUAUUAAAAACACAGCACUGUGCAAACACGAAAGUGGACGUAUACGGUGUGACGCCUGCCCGGUGCCGGAAGGUUAAUUGAUGGGGUUAGCGCAAGCGAAGCUCUUGAUCGAAGCCCCGGUAAACGGCGGCCGUAACUAUAACGGUCCUAAGGUAGCGAAAUUCCUUGUCGGGUAAGUUCCGACCUGCACGAAUGGCGUAAUGAUGGCCAGGCUGUCUCCACCCGAGACUCAGUGAAAUUGAACUCGCUGUGAAGAUGCAGUGUACCCGCGGCAAGACGGAAAGACCCCGUGAACCUUUACUAUAGCUUGACACUGAACAUUGAGCCUUGAUGUGUAGGAU